AAGAACAACAACAACAACAACAACAAAAAAAACAGAGAAAAGUUUGUUCAUUGGCCCAUUUUCUUUCUCCCAGAUUUCAGCUUUGGAAUUAAUACAUUAAGGUGCUUGAAACAAGACUUCAUUGCUGAGCUACAGGGAUUAAGGGAAGGGAUUUUAUUUGCCUGCUGCAGUUAGAUGCAGCGUCCUCAAGGACCCCAGAAUUUGCAUGGAAACAUGGAGGAGAGGAGAGAGGAAAUAACCUUUACAGAAAGAAAAUCAGUCAAAUCAUCUUUAUCAUUCAAACAAAAGAUGACAGGAAAUGAACAGGUGACUUCAAGGAUGAAAAAAAUACUCUUCUGCCAAUUCAAGAAAAGAUAAUGGAUGAGGUGUUACAGAACCUGUAGGUGAAUUUGAGUUUGCAUUAUAACCAUCUUUACCAAAGAUCUUUAUCAUGCAACAAACUACAUUUUGAGAACAAUGCCUGGAAUAAAGAGGGGAAGAAAAUGUUUAAUACUGCUACUUCCUCUAACUAAGAUCAUAGAAUCAUCAAAUCAUAAAAGGUUGGAAAAGACCUCUAAGAUCAGCCAUCACCACCAUGCCCACUUUGGAGGAUGCCAAAGCAGACACAGAACUGAACAGCAGUCUCAGAUUGUGAUACAUCAUGCUUUUAGAAUUGUUAUUCUCUCCUGAUUCACCUUGUUGCAACUGUAACGAUGCCUGUAGUCCCAGAAGUGGGAGCAAGAAGAGAUCAUUACAACUGGGGCAUUUAUUUCCUCUCUGCUAUCAAAGAGAUGAGCCUCUGGACAGCAAAUUUAGUGGUAUUUUACUGGAUACAGAUGCAGAGCACUGCACAUCUCUUCUUCCUGCAAUAUAACAGCAGUGGAGAGUUCAGCUGAGAGAACAAACUUUGAGAAGAUAUCUCACUCCUGUAGGACAGUGAAACAGUUGUCCAAAUCACAAUGUGGGACUCAGAGCCAUGGCCUAGAACAAGAGAAGGGUAUAUACCUUGUCUUUCUUAUUCUUACAAGGAAAGAUCAAGAUACAUCUAUAUGUGACUUUUGACAAUUCAAGAAAGAAAACUUCAAAUGCUCAGGUGUUUGAUCUUUAUUUUUUUAUAACCUAUCAAAACCACAGGAUCUGUAAGCAUUCCUUCAGCCCUAAAUGGUUUCUUUCUCUUUUCCAUUUUUCAUAUAGAAUCAUAGAAUCAUAGAAUGGCCUGGGUUGAAAAGGACCACAGUGAUCAUUGAGUUUCAACCCCCCUGCUAUGUGCAGGGUUGCCAGCCACUAGACCAGGCUGCCCAGAGAAUUUUUUUAUUCCAGUAAAGGAGGAGGCCUUUCUUUUGUUGAGAAACCAAAUGUAAAAGAGUAGAAGACUUUUACAAGAAGCAAACUUGUAAAAAUGGCAUCCUGGGGUUCCCCAUUUGUUACAUUGCAAUUGUUUCUAUAUCAAACCUGUUCAGUUCAGCACUGAAAGGAUGGGUUUGCUGCUGUCCAUCACUGAGAGCUCUACUAAAGUAAAGCCUGAUACUUUCUGGGUCAUACUCUCUAAAAAUAAGUCACAAUGGGAAUGCUAAAAAAAACUAACUUACAACAUGUGAAUCAGAACUCCAGUUGCCUUCUACUUCUGCAGGGCUAAGAAAAACCCCUCAAGUACAGCAAUAGGUUAUUUAAAGACCAAAGUAAAUAGAUCUGACUGCAAGCAGACACAGGAAACAGAUCAAUGUCUCAUGAUGAUGAAAUCUAUGUAGUAAGUUUUGACAAGAGCCACAUGCUGGGGCUCAUCCAACAGGGAUCUUUCCACCAGGUAUUUGUUGAAACCUAUAAAGAUGCAGAUUAGCUUCAGUUGAUGCAGGGAAGUGAUUUUUUUUUCAUACAUCCUAUAAACUUUUAUAUUUUUGGCGGGGAGACUGAAAGUGCAUGAAUGCAUAGUAUUUUUUGCAGGCAGACAUAGCUUUAUUCCAAUCCUACCUCAGACUCUCAACCUUUUAUCUCUUAGACUUACUGCCAUGCCAGUUGUGGUUACAUGACUUCCAGUUUGCUUGGAUCAGGGCAGAGACAGGCUAUGUGUGCUUGUCAAACACAAAUACGUGCUAGAACCUGCAGCUAGAGUCCAGGAAAAGGUCUUUGACAUAACAAACAUACCGUGUAGUCCAAGACCUCCACAGCUCCAAGAUGUACUGCUGCCAUGACCUCAGAUUGUUGCUAUGAUGCUUUUUAUAGGGAUUUGAUGACAUCAGCUAGCACUAAUGUGAUAUUUUUCUAAGAGCUGUAGUAGAGGUAGAUGCGUAAAGUCAAAGCUUCUCUCUCAUAGCACUGGACCCACCUGGUGAGUACAAGGCUCCCUCAGGGCAAUGCCAUUUGUACUUUGAGCUGUGUUCAUGAGCACCAGGGCACAUAGGAGCCCAGGGAGAAGGGCUGCCCUGGUUUCUUUCUAUUCUUUGGUGUCAGCAUGCUCACCAUGUUGCUGCUCCUCACAAAAACUCAUCAGCUGGAAACAUGUCUAGAAAUGAAGCAGAGCUCUGAAAGCAACACUACUGCAUGCAGGACUGAGCAGCAGCUCCCAGUUUCUGCAAGUUUUUGGUUCUACUCUGUCAACCACCUUAGAACCAAAUUUGUAAAGAAAUGUAGAGGAAAUGAGAAAUUAAAAGGCCAAAUCUGGAAAAAAAAAAAGUCUUCCACUUCUGUUACUCAAACAUUGGAGAGAAGCCAAAAGGCAGAUACAGUAAUAAUACAACUUUUGGAAAAUGUGGAAUAAUAAUAGAAGCUAGAUUUAUUUAGAUCUCCAAUGGUGGAGACUACCUAGACCACAGAGCAGAAGGGAUUAAAAAAAAAACACACACUCUGAUAUUUGAGAUUUUUUUUUAACGUAUCAGACAAAACCAUUGUGAGAUUGAGAAUGGAAGCUGAAGCUACACAAAGUCAGACUGGAAGAAAGGUGACAACUUUACCUUGAUAACAGCCCAUCACUGCAGGAAUAUCUCAUGCAUAGUUUCCCCAACAGUUAAUCUUUUAAUUUUUUUAAAAUUUGAUUUCUUUAUAAAAGAUAGGCUUUUAUUUACUAUUUUAGUCUGGCCUGUACUAUGCAGGAAGCCAGAUUAAAUCAUCAUAAUAUUCCCUUCUAGCCUUAAUCUACAUAUGAUUAAAACAUAUUAUGUAGUUACCUGUCCAUAUAGAGAUGACCAUCUCUUCCCCACUCAAGUUGAUAUUUUCAAGCCAUCAAAUGAAACUAGCCAAGACAAAGUGUGCUUGAUGAAACUGUGCUGCUGUGUGACGUCAGUGUCUGUGGGGAUGUCAGUGAGUAAAUCUUGAGGCUGAAAUCCUAAAGCACAAAAGAUACACAGCCAGCGUGGUGUCCCACAGGUGGGUGCAGGUGUGCCACACUCUGGAGGGGACAACCAACCCUUCAGGCCCUUCCUGUAUUCCACCAUCCUCUGUGAAUAUUGGAGAUGAAAUUUUUGUACACUUUCGCAGUAGCAAUCAUGUGAACCUGAGCUCAUUUUCACAAACAAAGCAUGCCCAAUCAACAGUCUCAUUUUUUUUUUCCUGCUUUAUGGAUGUUGAAGCAACAAUUUUGUGCAAAAGGUACAGGUGGGUUUUACGCUCCUGCUGGGCCCCAUGGUAGAGACUCACACAACAAAGGCUUGCAGGUGUUUCCUAUAUCUUUGUGGUUAUUUCUUUCAAACAGCAUCUGUUGAAAUGCAUCUUGCCUCCUGCUUAAAAAAGCCCAAUGCUUGGCAAUGCAGGGUGCUUGCCUUAGCUUUAACUGCCCACCCACACUGAACAUUUUAUGUUAUUUAGAUCGACCAGGGGCACAAUGAGAGCCUUUGACCAGCAAGACUUCCCUUCAGAGUGGGAGGCUCUGGAGGGGGAAAGGUGACCCAGAGAUGUGGUAACAUUUUUCACCUCCACUUCUCUUUCCAGUCGGGCAGCCCCGUCAUAGUUGGCACUGACCGCACUACCACCUGCUGCGUCCCAGCAGAAAUCCACACAAAACCUGGCUUGUCUUUGGGUAAUUGCACUUGUAAAGUAGAAGCAGCUCAUUUAAGCAUUACACACGGCAUCUUAUUAAGCACCUCGUGAUACAUAAAAUUAAGACAACUGAAAGAAAAUUUCCGAAAACCCUUCUAUACGGUUUGUGACCACAGCUGAUUUGUAUCUGGUGAGGUUUCCUGGGUGAUGAGUCCAUAAUUCCCAUCACCUUUUGGAAAAAGUCUGUUUUAACUUUAUUUUGCUUCAAUAAUAACUACUAAUGUUGUGUUAACCAAUCAAAAGAGAACAAGUGGUCAAAGCAAGACCUAGAGAAACAGACCCAGAACACAUCUAACCUGAAGUAGAUGUAGGUUGAACAUGAUUUGGUUCUGAAUUCUCAGCAUGAGCUAUAAGUAAUUAUAACUAAAUCCCCUGGGCAAACUGAUCUACGUGUGGUGGCCCCAUUCAAUGCAGGGGAGUUGGACUAAAUGGCCCUUGGAGGUCCCUUCCAACUCUAAGGAGUCUAUGAUUCCAUGAUUAUGAUUCUAAUUCAGGCAUGCAAAGUGGUCUGGGAGGGAACUGGAUGUCAGGUGGUAGCACUGGGCAGUACAAUCUACCUCGAUCUGUGAAUUUCAUUGUAGGAAGAGCAUUAUGUUGUUUUGGUGUUUGUUUGUUUGUUUUCCUUAUUUUUUUUUAAUUUCUCUAUAGUUUCUUUUUCUUUAAGAUAUGAUUUAGAAACCACUGGGAGUUACUUGGAUGCUGCCUUCCAAAUUCAGUGCUUUUAUUUUUUAAUAUUGUAGUGGAAAUGCUAAGUCACAGCUUGAAGCAGUGAUUGAGCACCUGGUGGAAGGCAGGGCCAACUCAGGUGAGCUCAGGUGCAUGCAAUGCAGCUGAGUGAUCAGAAGGACUGGAGCCAGGAUCCACCCCUUCCCAGCCCUCAUUUAAGGGUUGGCAGUGGAGGCAAGGAUAUCUUCCUAGAGUUUUCUACCUACCUGAGUCUUUCCAAAGGAUCUGCCUGAUCUCAUGUUCCAAGAAUGAAACCCUGGCAUGGAAGUGGCAUAUCUGCCAGUUAAUGUCAACAUUUGAUGUGCAGUCAGAGAGCAAACAAGGUUUCAUAUUGUGGUAAAAAGGGAAAUACUGUUCGCUUUAAUUCUAGUUUCUUUGUGUCAGAUGUAUUAAGA
ensembl:lncRNA